rnacentral:rRNA from 1 species
CGUACACUCCUGCGGGAGGCAGCAGUGGGGAAUAUUGCACAAUGGGCGCAAGCCUGAUGCAGCCAUGCCGCGUGUAUGAAGAAGGCCUUCGGGUUGUAAAGUACUUUCAGCGGGGAGGAAGGCAAUACGGUUAAUAACCGUGUUGAUUGACGUUACCCGCAGAAGAAGCACCGGCUAACUCCGUGCCAGCAGCCGCGGUAAUACGGAGGGUGCAAGCGUUAAUCGGAAUUACUGGGCGUAAAGCGCACGCAGGCGGUCUGUCAAGUCGGAUGUGAAAUCCCCGGGCUCAACCUGGGAACUGCAUUCGAAACUGGCAGGCUUGAGUCUUGUAGAGGGGGGUAGAAUUCCAGGUGUAGCGGUGAAAUGCGUAGAGAUCUGGAGGAAUACCGGUGGCGAAGGCGGCCCCCUGGACAAAGACUGACGCUCAGGUGCGAAAGCGUGGGGAGCAAACAGGAUUAGAAACCCGUGUAGUCCCA